rnacentral:rRNA from 1 species
AUUGAACGCUGGCGGCAGGCCUAACACAUGUAAGUCGGACGGUAGCACAGAGGAGCUUGCUCCUUGGGUGACGAGUGGCGGACGGGUGAGUAAUGUCUGGGGAUCUGCCCGAUAGAGGGGGAUAACCACUGGAAACGGUGGCUAAUACCGCAUAACGUCGCAAGACCAAAGAGGGGGACCUUCGGGCCUCUCACUAUCGGAUGAACCCAGAUGGGAUUAGCUAGUAGGCGGGGUAAUGGCCCACCUAGGCGACGAUCCCUAGCUGGUCUGAGAGGAUGACAAGCCACACUGGAAGUGAGACACGGUCCAGACUCCUACGGGAGGCAGCAGUGGGGAAUAUUGCACAAUGGGCGCAAGCCUGAUGCAGCCAUGCCGCGUGUAUGAAGAAGGCCUUCGGGUUGUAAAGUACUUUCAGCGGGGAGGAAGGCGGUGAGGUUAAUAACCUCGCCGAUUGACGUUACCCGCAGAAGAAGCACCGGCUAACUCCGUGCCAGCAGCCGCCGCAG